rnacentral:precursor_RNA from 1 species
GGCUUGAGGACCGUAUUCAUGGAAGAGGAUUGAACAGACUACUGAGUUCUUAAGAGAAAAAUGGCACUUAAGAAAUUGAUGGUGAUAUCAAAGGAAGGUUACUUAUUACUCUUGGACUUUGAUGAUGAGGACGAUGACAUAAAAGUUUCAGAGGAGGCUCUUGCGGAAGUAAAGAGCCCAGGAUUUGAUAAAAAUGAGAAUAUAUCGCCUCAAGCAGAAGCAGAUGAAUAUAUGGGAGAUGAAGUAGACAGUAUGUUGGAUAAAUCUGGAGUAAAGAACCCAGCAAUUGGUAAAGAUGAGAAUAUAUCGCCUCAAGUAAAAGGAGAUGAAGACAUGGGAGAUGAAAUUGACAGUAUGUUGGCUACAUCUGGAGGUCUUUUCUCCUGAGAACACGGGACUCCAGCAUCUUCGGAUUCUGCUCUUGGAGAUGUGUGCAGCUGAACAGAGCGUUGAGGAAACGUCAGUGAUUUUAUAACUACUUAUCAUGUUGGGAGAUUGUUGUGAUGAUUGCCUGGACUCUCAGAUGUUACACAGGCUGCAUCAUUGGACUGAAAGUGAAUGGCCCAUGUGUUGCCACUGAUGUGAGCCAUUUGCAAGCC